rnacentral:rRNA from 1 species
UUCCCACGGGGGGCAGCAGUAGGGAAUCUUCCACAAUGGGCGAAAGCCUGAUGGAGCAACGCCGCGUGGGUGAAGAAGGUCUUCGGAUCGUAAAACCCUGUUGUUAGAGGAGAAAGUGCGUGAGAGUAACUGUUCACGUUUCGACGGUAUCUAACCAGAAAGCCACGGCUAACUACCUGCCAGCAGCCGCGGUAGUACGUAGGUGGCAAGCGUUAUCCGGAUUUAUUGGGCGUAAAGAGAACGCAGGCGGACUU